rnacentral:tRNA from 1 species
AAGAAUGAACCUUUAGAGCUGCUACCUCUAACCCCUGGUUCUAACUAAACCAGCAUUCUUA